AGCAGGUAGCCUAGUGGUUAGAGCAGGUAGCCUAGUGGUUAGAGCAGGUAGCCUAGUGGUUAGAGCAGGUAGCCUAGUGGUUAGAGCAGGUAGGCUAGUGGUUAGAGCAGGUAGGCUAGUGGUUAGAGCAGGUAGCCUAGUGGUUAGAGCAGGUAGCCUAGUGGUUAGAGCAGGUAGGCUAGUGGUUAGAGCAGGUAGCCUAGUGGUUAAAGCAGGUAGCCUAGUGGUUAGAGCAGGUAGCCUAGUGGUUAAAGCAUUGGGCCAGUAACUGAAAGGUUGCAAGAUUGAAUCGCCGAGCUAACAAGGUAGAAAUCUGUCGUUCUGCCACUGAACAAGGCAGUUAACCCACUGUUCCUAGGCCGUCAUUGAAAAUAAGAAUUUGUUCUUAAUAUCUGACUUGCCUGAAGACAUUGUUACCUAUUUGUUAAUAAAGCCAGUUUGUUAUUUAGAAUGAUUUAUUUCUGUUUUUAGAGGGAGAGAAACCAAAAGCCUGCCGCCACCUCCCAGUUACGGUUGGCAACCAGCAUCUAUAGCAAGCAGUUUGCACUGUGAUGUCUUAGACUACUGUGCCUCUCAGGUGCAAUGUGACUGGUUGAUACAGGCUACAGUAAGAGCAUUUCCACCCUAAUUGAAGUCCAAGUUUCUCUUAGAAUAAAAACCUUAGUUUAACAACAGCUUCAGUAAGUAAUAUCGAAGUCGUGCACAAUUAUCAUUUUCUAUGUAGAUUUAUGUCCCCCGUUCAUUAAUGUGUAUAAACAGGAUGUGUGUGUAUAAACAGGAUAUGUGUGUAUAAACAGGAUGUGUGUGUAUAAACAGGAUGUGUGUGUAUAAACAGGAUAUGUGUGUAUAAACAGGAUAUGUGUGUAUAAACAGGAUAUGUGUGUAUAAACAGGAUAUGUGUGUAUAAACAGGAUGUGUGUGUAUAAACAGGAUAUGUGUAAAGUAUAAACAGGAUAUGUGUGUAAAGUAUAAACAGG
ensembl:lncRNA